GUAGAGAGAGACAGACAGAGAGAGAGGUAGAGAGAGGUAGAGAGAGACAGAGAGAGAGAGAGAGGUAGAGAGAGGUAGAGAGAGACAGAGAGAGAGAGAGGGGGGGAGGUUCAAAGCCCAGUACAGGGAAAGUGGAAAGGGACACUGUAAAUCCAUUUGAUUAUUCUGCCCGUCCUCAGUCCAAGGAUUUUGAUGUAUUUUUCCACCCAAAACAAACCCCUCAAAGGAGUCAUUCCAACGUGUUCCACUCCAAAGAUGUCACAAACAGAAAAUGGCCGACCUAGAAUGAAGUAACUCACUCCUUGUUCUGCUCAGUAUGUCUUGUCAUUCACAAAACCUUCAGCCAGUGGUAGUGCAUUUGUCAAAGGAGGCCUGGAAACACGCCCAUCAGAGAGGACAGGAACAUGAGAGAAGACCCAUAGAGAAAGGAGGUCUGGAAACACGCCCAUCAGAGAGGACAGGAACAUGAGAGAAGACCCAUAGAGAAAGUGCAGAAGCCUUUUUCAGAGCAGAGCAGACAUCCGUACCCUUCUGAGUGAUAAUGUCAGUUCAACGAGACCAGGUCAGAAAGAGGAGGCAGGCAGGUCACGGAACGUGUGAUGGAUGUUGUUAAAGUUGUUGGUAAAUGUGGGCUCAGCUACAGAGGACACGAGACACACGAAUCUGCAUAUAACUCGGGAAAACAUGGCCGACAAUCAUAUUGUUACCAGUGGUAAUUACUUCCUGACUUGACAAAGAUGAUAUCAUUGACAAGAUGUCAGAGAGCAGUGAGUUACUGCGCCGCCGACUGGUUUCCUAGUGGUAAUUACUUCCUGGUUACUCUGCUAUGCUAUGACUCUUCCUCAACAGGCUGACGGUGGUAUAAAAUGCAGUUUAUAUCAUGUGAUACAUGUGAUAGAGGAGUAAUGUAAGAUAUGUAAACAUUAUUAAAGUGGCCUGAAUUACUGUUUCAGUUUCACGCCCCUGCUACAAGCAGUUUAGUCAGCUCAACUUGCUCAAUUUCCACAUGACUCAUCACUCAUCACUCAUGACUCA
ensembl:lncRNA